rnacentral:lncRNA from 1 species
CUGUUUUGGAUGGUAAAAGUCCAGCUGGUAGACAGUCUUGGAAGGGGAAAGAAAGAGCAAGGACAGUUCUCUGCAGCCAAUCAAGUCAGAAACGGGCAUCCUGUGCUGCUCAGAAUUUUGGUAGGAAGAUGCCAGCCUGUGAAGACAAUCCUUCUUCAAUUUAACUGACUAAGGUUUUCCUGCAGAAGAGGUUCAAAACAUAUGACUGAGAGAGGCAGGAAGACCAUUCAUUGCAAAGAACUGCUGAUUUGCUCACUGGCAUUAGAGUGUGCUGCUGUGACUGGUCUUGGCUGAGAAGAGCAGUGAAUUUUGUGAAGUGACAACCUACGGUUUGUAAGUCUAGAGCCAGGGAACACGAGUCUUAAAACAAAGAGGGAGGUGCGGGUGCAGACUGGGUUCUAAACCCCAGAGUUCAUAUUCUGCUUCUCUUCUCUUCAUUUCCUAACUGCUCUGGGCACAAUUUUAAACACUCCCGACACCUAAUGUCUCUGCCUAUAAAACAGUAGCAACAUCAAUGCCUACUCCAGAGAAAAUUCCCAGCAUGGUGUCUGGCAUGGAGGGUUCAAUAAAAG